rnacentral:rRNA from 1 species
GAUGAACGCUGGCGGCGUGCUUAAUACAUGCAAGUCGAACGGAGAGUCUUUGUAGCAAUACGAGGGCUUCUUAGUGGCGAACGGGUGCGUAACGCGUUGGUGACCUGCCCCGAAGUGUGGGAUAACAGUCCGAAAGGACUGCUAAUACCGCAUGUGGUUUUCCGGCCUAGAUACCGGAUCUCUAAAGCAGUAAUGCGCUUCGGGAGGGACCUGCGUCCCAUCAGCUAGUUGGUGAGGUAACGGCUCACCAAGGCUACGACGGGUAGGGGACCUGAGAGGGUGGUCCCCCGACACUGGCACUGAAACACGGGCCAGACACCUACGGGAGGCAG